rnacentral:miRNA from 1 species
CCCAAUGCUCAAACUACCUGUUC